GAUGAACGCUGGCGGCGUGCCUAAUACAUGCAAGUCGAGCGAACAGACGAGAAGCUUGCUACUCUGAUGUUAGCGGCGGACGGGUGAGUAACACGUGGAUAACCUACCUAUAAGACUGGGAUAACUUCGUGAAACCGGUGCUAAUAACGGAUGAUAUUUUGAACCGCAUGGUUCAAAAGUGAAAGACGGUUUUGCUGUACCUUAUAGAUGGAUCCGCGCUGCAUUAGCUAGUUCGUAAGGUAACGGCUUACCAAGGCAACGAUGCAUAGCCGACCUGAGAGGGUGAUCGGCCACACUGGAACUGAGACACGGUCCAGACUCCUACGGGAGGCAGCAGUAGGGAAUCUUCCGCAAUGGGCGAAAGCCUGACGGAGCAACGCCGCGUGAGUGAUGAAGGUCUUCGGAUCGUAAAACUCUGUUAUUAGGGAAGAACAUAUGUGUAAGUAACUGUGCACAUCUUGACGGUACCUAAUCAGAAAGCCACGGCUAACUACGUG
rnacentral:rRNA from 1 species